AUGUUUAUCCUUCAAGUUUCUUUUCAGGUGAAAUCAUGUUUUAUACUUUUGUUUGGCUUUUAGGACAAGCAAUUGAGAAGAAAGCAACUUUGUGAGGAAAGCAACACAGAUUUCAAAAUGAUGAUGAUACACAUUAUCAGGUUUUUAUCGAGUGUCUUCUAUGGGAUAAAGCCAGAUAUAGGAGCUCACGGUAUAACCACAAAGACUGACAAAUAUCUAACUGUACAUAUGAUGGGAUGCAAAACCAUAUGAUGUUGUCUGGAACCAAGGAGUAAGCAUUAACCUGUGUGCUUGAUUAGGGAAAAAGCUUGGCCUUUGUAGAAUGAGCACGAUAUUGAAAAGUGGACAAGGUGAA
rnacentral:lncRNA from 1 species